rnacentral:rRNA from 1 species
CUACGGGGGGCUCCAGUGAGGAAUAUUGCACAAUGGGGGGAGCCCUGAUGCAGCAACGCCGCGUGGAGGAUGACGCAUUUCGGUGUGUAAACUCCUUUUAUAUGUCAAGAAAAUGACGGUAGCAUAUGAAUAAGCACCGGCUAACUCCGUGCCAGCAGCCGCGGUAAUACGGAGGGUGCAAGUGUUACUCGGAAUCACUGGGCGUAAAGGACGCGUAGGCGGGUUGGAAAGUCAGGUGUGAAAUCCUACAGCUUAACUGUAGAACUGCACUUGAAACUUCUAAUCUAGAGUAUGGGAGGGGGAGAUGGAAUUAGUGGUGUAGGGGUAAAAUCCGUAGAUAUCACUAGGAAUACCUAAAGCGAAGGCGAUCUCCUGGAACAUUACUGACGCUAAGGCGUGAAAGCGUGGGGAGCAAACAGGAUUAAAUACCCUCGUAGUC